AAGCUCCGUCGACGGCCCUUCGGUUUUAAGUUUUUUUUUUUGUUUUUUGAUAAUUUUUGGGGGAUUUUUCGGCACGAUCCUAGCGUCGCGCUGCGCUCGGACAGGUUAUCCCUUCCGUCCCGCUAGAUUGAUGAGAUCAGGCAUC
rnacentral:lncRNA from 1 species